AUAUUUUUAUAAAACUAUCAUCAACUGGCAGAUUAUUAGAUAGAGGAGAAUUUA
rnacentral:guide_RNA from 1 species